CGUAGGAGGUCAAGCGUUAUCCGGAUUCACUGGGCGUGAAGCGCGUGCAGGUGGCGCGGUAAGUUGGGCGUGAAAUCUCCCGGCUCAACUGGGAGAGGUCGUUCAAUACUACCGUGCUCGAGAGCAGAAGAGGAAGAUGGAAUUCCCGGUGUAGUGGUGAAAUGCGUAGAUAUCGGGAGGAACACCAGUGGCGAAGGCGAUCUUCUGGUCUGUUUCUGACACUCAGACGCGACAGCUAGGGUAGUAAACGGGAUUAGAGACCCCGGUAAUCCUAGCCGUAAACGAUGUGAACUUGGCGUUGGUGGGUUAAACUCCAUCAGUGCCGUAGCAAACGCGAUAAGUUCACCGCCUGGGGACUACGGCCGCAAGGUUA
rnacentral:rRNA from 1 species